rnacentral:lncRNA from 1 species
GCAGGAGGUCAGAACCACUUCCCCCUAAGUACAGAGUGGGUGAAAGUAAGGAUCUUGGGAAAUAGAGCUUGGCUUCUCUCCUAGACCACUGUUCUUUCCAGUGCUUCUCUAGGAUUGAAUUUAGACAGAAGCUAGCAGACAUUAGACCAUAAAAAGAAAGCACUGCAGAACACACAGGACAGAAGCCGAACAAGUGGAGAAGAAAAUGAUGAGAGUAAUGCCGAGGGAAGACAGCAGCGUGGUUAACAUCACAAGAUCAGAGGGAGCCCAGAAGCAGAACCUAGAAAAAUCCUUUCACAGCAUGCAAUAUAGAACAAAAAUCCCCAGAAAACUCAAAUACUACUAUUAUCAUGUUUCAAAACAAGAAAGCUAAGAAAGGCGACAAAAGGACCCAAGAAAGGCUCGGACAGACGCAUGGCAGAGUAUAUCGAGAAGCCAGAAAA